GCCUUGGUGGCGAAAUUGGCAGACGCGCCAGCCCUAGGAGCUGGUGGGGCAACCCAUGAGAGUCCGAAUCUCUCCCAAGGCA
rnacentral:tRNA from 1 species